rnacentral:tRNA from 1 species
AUUUUUGUAGUUUAAUAAAAACACCAGUUUGUGGCACUGGAGAUGUGAAAUACUCACUUAAAAUC